rnacentral:rRNA from 1 species
UACGUAGGGCGCAAGCGUUGUCCGGAAUUAUUGGGCGUAAAGAGCUCGUAGGCGGCUUGUCACGUCGAUUGUGAAAGCUCGGGGCUUAACCCCGAGUCUGCAGUCGAUACGGGCUAGCUAGAGUGUGGUAGGGGGAGAUCGAAUUCCUGGUGUAGCGGUGAAAUGCGCAGAUAUCAGGAGGAACACCGGUGGCGAAGGCGGAUCUCUGGGCCAUUACUGACGCUGAGGAGCGAAAGCGUGGGGAGCGAACAGG